CUCAAAUGAUGAAACUGAUGACGAGACUGAAGGGACAUUUUCUCGACGUUGCGUUGUAUUUUUCAAUGCUUUGUUGAACAACAUUUGUUCAUUUAAGAUGAAUCGGCAAUCUGAUG
rnacentral:snoRNA from 1 species